AAGCGCUUGUGACCAGACGUGCGCCGGGUGUUCAGCGGGCGUUUUCGCCCGUGCAUUCGCCCCGGCGCAGGCCAGCGUCGGUUUGGGCGGGGGGAUAAAGGCGCCAGGAACGUAUCUCCCCCGGGAGUGUUAUAGCCUGGUGCGUCAUGCCCCCGCCUGGACCGAGGUUCGCGCUCCGCAAGGACGCUGGCGUAAUGGUCCCCAGCGG
rnacentral:rRNA from 1 species